UAAAAAUCUUUUUAAAAAAAACUGCUAAAAUAGGCAAGAUCCAUGGGUUUUUGUGAACAUGCUUUCUUCACAUCAGCAGUGGAUCGGGAUUUGAAACUUCAUUUGGUUGAUGGGUGUUGCUGGAGAAAGCAGCCUUUGAAACAUUCUGACUGCAGACUCAUGCCUCUCGCUGGAGAUGACCAUUGAAUAUUGAGAUGCAGCCACUGACAGGACAUGGCCUCCUUCUGUCAAUCAGCAGCUCCAGUGUUCAGAGAAGGCUAUUGGCACAAGAACUUUCCACCUGAAGAUGAGGGACACAUCAAUGGCCAAGCAGUGAGCCAGGGUAACCCCUAACAAAAGAGGUAGCAUUUCAGCCUAAGCCUAUCUUAUACUCAAACCCGCACUCUUUGUCCAAUCUAAUUAAACUUUUGUCACAUUUGA